CAACUUAUUAGAGUAUGAUAAGAUAGAAUGUUUCACGUUACCUUUUAACAAUACAUCAUAUGAUAAUACAUCUACCUUACAUAAAAAAGAUUAACAUAGCCAAUUCUACAACCCACAACAUGUUCAUUCUGUAUGUACAAAACUAGAGUGAUUGUGUUCAUUUUCUGUAUGUACAAAACUAGAGUUCAUAAGCAGGGAACCUUGUUUCUAUUGGAUCUAUCAUGUCGAAAAAGAGAUAAGCCAUUCCUCCCAUUCCUUCAAACAACGAGUAUGGACGAUCACCUCCAUGCAUAACUCCCUCUGAUAUGAGUGUUUGAGCUCUAGUGUGCAGAAAGCACGCGAAGGCCUUUGCCUUGUACAAGUACUCAACUUUACCUGUCAAACGAUACAGUGAAAGAAAGACAUAGGAAUUUCCACUAACACCGUGACAUAUUCCAACUCGUUUGAGUAAGCCUCGAUUCCAAAUCACCUCAGCUGCUUCUAUAGCUGCCUGCAGAAACUCGUCAUUGCUGAAAACCUUAGCUGCUUUGAUUAGAGUAAGGGCAACACCUGGAGCACCAUGACACCAAUGCACAAGUCGGUCAGAUUCACUUCCUUCACUUGAGGGGUAAUUUCCACUAGGAAAACGAUUUCGGAUCAUGUAAUGCAGUGUAGCCUUCACAUCCUCGACCUCAUCUGCUUUCAGUUCCAUGUCCAUAAGUACAUGCAUUAUCCCAGCUAGUCCAUGAGCAGCACCCCAGUAUCUUUUUCCAUGCCAUUCAUACAUCAGUGGACAUUUUCCUUUCCCCAUUUUUCGUCCGGACUUUAUAACCUCAGCAACAACUGCUCGAAUUUGGGUUGGAGAUAUUGUUUCUCUACCAAUAUUUUUGUUUAAGAAUGAACAAGCCCACAAGAAACCAGCCCUCCCAUACAACAACUCAUUUGGAAGAUCUUUAGGAAGCUCAAUCUCUUUGAAUUUCGUCAGAUAGUGAUCACACAAUUGUUCAUCCCCGCUCUGUUUGGCCACAACUGCACCAAGAGAAUAAACACCAGCUUGUCCACAUAUGAAAGUCACACGCCCAGAACCACGGGAAGCAGAGUCACAAGCCUUGAUAAUAUCAGAACAGAGAGCAAGAUCAUUCUUGUCAAGAGUAACUUGGUAAGCUUUAAAUAACAAAAAAGCAGUUCCUAAAGCUCCAGUGUAAAUUGUAUAGUCACUCACUCUUCCCCUUUUACAUACCCAUGUCUCCUUCACAAUCGUUUCUUUGAGAUCAAAAGCAACCCUUUUGAGCUUGUCGCAAACAGUACCAUAAGGCAAAUACAGAAGCUCUAACAAUGGAUCUUUUGCUCCUUCAAGAAAUGAUUCUUUAACUGUAGUUUCAUCAACAAAACUAGGCAUGGUGUUUGGAAAGAAACGAUCUGGCAUCUCUUUAUUUCCGGUUCUGUUGAAUCCUCCGCCGGAACAAAUUUAUGGAAAGAACAGAGCUCCGGUGGUUCUCAGAAGACAGAACAGAGCAAGUCUAUCCGGG
rnacentral:misc_RNA from 1 species